AUGGAAGUAGAUAGCUGGCUCCGGACCAUCGAGUCUAAGUUCACCAUGCACCUGUACAAUGGUGGGGACAAGGCAGGAUUUGCAGCCCAGCAGCUCAAGGGUCCCGCACGCACUUGGUGGGACAAUCACAUGGCCAUGUUCCCCGAGGGCACACGGUUCACCUGGGCCCAGUUUAAGGAAGCAUUCAGGGCGCAUCACGUUCCAGCAGGAGUGAUCAGGAGGAAGCUCACGGAGUUCUUGGCCCUAAAGCAGGGCAACAACAGUGUGAUGCAAUAUGUCCAGAAUAUCAACACACUCUCACGGUACGCUGGGUACCACGUGGACACGGAUGAGAAGAAACAGGCUAUCGUGCAGGAGGAUGCCCAUCUAGCUCAUAAAGCAGAAAAGAAAAGAAAGGCACCGGCGGCGGGAUCCACUAGUAGCAACCCACAGAGGUUCCGCCUCGUGCAGUCUGGGCCACAACGAGCCCCCUUCCAGCACCAGUCUAUGUACAGGCCACCACAGCAGCAGUGGGGAUAUCGGCCACCUCAGCCACCACAACCGCAGGGGGUAGUCAGGCCUCCUGUUCCUCAGCAGAGCGAGCAAAAGGUCUGGGUGCAGCAGCCGGGUGUCAAGGAUAAAGAUCCAUCAGAUGGCCAUGGAUGGUCCAUCUUGCAGAUUCAUCUCGUGGUUUACAUGUUUUGCAGCUUGUAUUCUCCUGGAGUCGACUGUUUCUGCUCAUUCAUGGCGCACUCCACAUCCUAGCCCAAGGCAAGAAGCAAGGUUCGAGCAGAAGACAAACAGGUUCUGGGAGUACCAGGAACAGAGUAAUACCUGGGUGGAAAUAAGCAUGCCGUUCGACUUGAUGUCUUGCAACAAUGGUACCUGCACAAAGGUAGGAUCAAUCGCAAGAAAACCUGCCAGUUCUCCUGUUCAUAGUCAAGAGGAGGAAGAUGCAAGGCUUGAUGAAGAAGACGAAGACGACAGAAAUGACCCAGUCCUGCCCAUAAGGAAAAGAAUUUCCUUGACAAGAAUGUCGGAGUCAUCAGUAUGGGUGACAGGCCAAAGCGGAUCGAUCUACGAGAGGUUCUGGAAUGGGGUGAUGUGGGUAAUCGCUCCUCAUGAACUCCCUACUUCAGCUGGCUAUGCCACGGCGACUUUCAUUGUGAAUACAACUAUUCUUGCUCUCUCGGAGGCUGGAAUCCUUUACCAGCUGCAGCUAAAUGAGCAUGCCCAGCCUAUCUGGACAGAGAUGACUUUCAACUCUGACCAGCAGUUCACAAAUCUUGGAUUAAAAACACAAAGUCAAGCUAUGCGUAUAAGAAAUGGGAUUGUAUCCGAUGACGGAAGGAAGCUGUUCCUAUCUAUCAUGAAUGGGUCCCUACUUGAGGUCACAGAAAUUCAGCCUCUAAGGUGGAAUUACCAUGGGCGUCCUCCAGGAGGAGAUGUAUCAUAUAUAUCUGAUGCUGGAAAUUUGCGACCAGGGACCUUGUUCACAGUAAGUUCCACUGGAGACCUAUAUGAGUUUGACAAAGAAACGAAGCCAUCAUGGAAAAAGCACAUCUGGAGUGAAGAACUGGCAGAACGUAUUUCAUUAAGCUCAUCAGCUGGCUGUGCUUUGCAUGGUUUGUCAGGGUCUAACUCAGUGUCCCUUUUCUUGAUAUCCAAGGAUGGCAUUUUAGUGGAGCGGCGAUUGCAUAGAAGGAAGUGGAAGUGGGAUAAACAUGGAGCUCCUAUGGGUCAGAGACUCAGUUCAGUUACAGAAGUUCAGCAGGAUGAACUCAAUGACGCAACUUCUAUGUUUUUUACGACAACCACAGGAAAAGUCUUCGAGUAUCAGAUUCCAAAAUAUACAGGUGGGGCUCAAAGCAAUAAGAUAAGAGGGCAAUGGCUGAAUCACAUGUCCCCUGAGCAUGCAAAGGUUGCAAGAAAUGUCCGAGGUGUACAGGUUCAAGUUGGCUGAAUGAUAUUCCCACUAGAUGAUGGUAGGCUUGGGGAGCUACAUUUUUCUGGGAUUGGAGGUGCUGAUUUUGGUCCAAGUCAGCAAAAUAUCGUAAGAAAGAAACUAUCAAACAAGUAUGAGUGGUCCAUCCUCGAUGCACCAGAAACAGAAGGUUGGAAUGCAGAAUAUUGCACCGAAGAGCAUGGUCCUACCAAUUGUAUUACUGGAGCAAAGAGUGUAGCUACAGACACUGAACCAAAUGACUUGAGCAAUACCCAACCUUCCAGGAGGCGCAAAGUAGAAGAGAAGCAGCACUACUUAGAUGUUAACAGACAGCAGAGUGAUGAAACUGAACCGUACAACUUUCUAUCAAGAAGCAUUGAUCGUAACUUCCACAUGCGGGUCAUGCAUGCAGACAGAUCACUUUUUCUUAUAACUGACAACGGCUUGACAUUUGAAUAUCUAAACAGCAAUGGUAUUUGGUUGUGGUUAAGACAUGAGCACACUACGGCCAUGAAAGGUACACUAGGAAGCUACAAUGGCAGCUUGUAUCUUGUUGACGUGCAUGGGAACUUACAUAUUAGAGAAAGAAAUGGAGAUGAACUGUUGUGGAUUAACUGCACAGCAAUGAAGAAGGGAAGGCACGUUGCAAGUGGGCCUCCAUGGGAUGGCAUCCCUGGUCUAUUGCGCAGAAUGACAACAGAUGACACGCUCUUUUUUGUUAACAAGCGAGGCAGGCUGCUACAGUUCACGGUUGCAUUGCGGAAAUUCAAGUGGAAGGACUGCCACAGCCCUCCUGACACCAAGGUUGCAUUCAUAGUGGACCAGGAGGUCUUCAGAAGAAACAUCAUCUUCGUGGUAGGGCGCAAUGGCCGCCUGUACCAGUACAACAGGAUCACAGAGCUAUGGCACAGGCACUACCAAUCACCUCACCUGAUCCUCUCGCGAUCCCCAGGGACAGCCAUGCGACCAUCGCCCAUGUCCUUGGCCGGCUCCCUGUUCAUGGUGUCCGAGCACGGGGGCCUGGUGGAGUACCACUUCAGCCCGCAGGACGGGUGGGAGUGGGUGGAGCACGGGACCCCGCACCGGGACGUGACCCUCGUCGGCGCCCCGGGCCCGUGCUUCGACGGCUCGCAGCUGUUCGUGGUCGGCUCCGACGGGCACGUGUACCGGCGGCACAUGGAGGGGCGGACGUGGAGGUGGACGAGCCACGGCCACCCGCCGCCGGAGCCGGCCGCCGCGGACGACCACACCUGCGCCACGCCAGGCGCGGGCGCGGGCGCGCAUCACGCGGACGGCUUCAGCGGGAGCUGCGACGGGAAGGUGGCGGCCGUGCGGCCGGUGCCGUUCUCGGGGGAUGCGGUGGUCUUCGAGCUGCGAGACGGCCGGCUGGCGGAGCUGCGGCGGCCGCCCUCCGCGGAGGGGUGCGGCGGGUGGGAGUGGGCCCGGAUCAUCGGCACGCCGGCCAGCGCCUGCAUGACCAGCUACUGGACGGCCGUCGCCACGUAGCCGCCGCCGGCCGCUUUGGCUCCGCUGCCGGAGUGUGCCGGUUGAUAGCGAGGUGGAGGAGUUCAAAAUUCGAAAAGGUCAAGACAAAAUAGAACCGUUGAUCGCUUGGAGGAAAAGAACUGUGCUGUGGGCCCUGGGCCGUAGCACGAUCCCAUCCGCGUGGACCCAGGCGCUGUGCAAUUGGGGCGUCCCAAGCGAGGCAGCGACCCAGGCGCCCGUAACACUGACCCCCCACCCUGACAUAGGGGCGGAUCCGUCCGCUACGCGCUCCAACGGCGCCCCCCACCGUGCACUCCAAAUUGGAGGUCGGGGUCUGCGUGUGGAGGGCGUACCGGCGUGCAUGGGCCCACACCAACGGCCGUGCCUCUUUUGCGCACGCGGAGCCAUCAUAGCACCGAGGCAGUUGGUUGAAGUGGGAGGUCUAGAUAAUAUUAAAAUACGUGGUAAUUGGAGUUAGUUGGAGAGAGAAAUAUAAAAUAUUGGAUGGUGGGGUAUAGCGGGUGCGGUAUGGAGUGUAUUGUUGGGGAGGAUUUUGAUAUGGAGUGCGGAAUCUGUUUAGAGGAAGGAGAAUAUUCCUUUUAAGGGUGGAUUUUAGAGGGUACGAUUGGAGACCAUCUAAAAAGGCUGAUCUUCAGAAAAUUCAGCUCGAGUAUUUCAAAAAAAGAAAAAGAAAAUUCAGCUCGUGUGUAUUCUUACAUCACAUUCUAGCCAGAAUUAGUGAGUAACAGCUUACUGUUAGCAAUAUAACUUUAUCUUUAACUUAAAAAAACCUCUGCUAUACAGUACUACUUGUUU